UAUSAYCCKAGCAUUCCCAARRKCCCCMYYCCCAUUUGGAARRAGUUGAUCCUGGCUCAGAUUGAACGCUGGCGGCAGGCCUAACACAUGCAAGUCGAGCGGAUGAGUGGAGCUUGCUCCAUGAUUCAGCGGCGGACGGGUGAGUAAUGCCUAGGAAUCUGCCUGGUAGUGGGGGACAACGUUUCGAAAGGAACGCUAAUACCGCAUACGUCCUACGGGAGAAAGUGGGGGAUCUUCGGACCUCACGCUAUCAGAUGAGCCUAGGUCGGAUUAGCUAGUUGGUGAGGUAAAGGCUCACCAAGGCGACGAUCCGUAACUGGUCUGAGAGGAUGAUCAGUCACACUGGAACUGAGACACGGUCCAGACUCCYMCSGGAGGCAGCAGUGGGGAAUAUUGGACAAUGGGCGAAAGCCUGAUCCAGCCAUGCCGCGUGUGUGAAGAAGGUCUUCGGAUUGUAAAGCACUUUAAGUUGGGAGGAAGGGCAGUAAGUUAAUACCUUGCUGUUU
rnacentral:rRNA from 2 species